AAUAGAUACCCCGGUAGUCCACGCCGUAAAACGAUGGAUGCUAGCUGUUAUGCGUAUCGACCCGUGUAGUAGCGAAGCUAACGCGUUAAGCAUCCCGCCUGGGGAGUACGAACGCAAGUUUAAAACUCAAAGGAAUUGACGGGGACCCGCACAAGCGGUGGAGCGUGUUCUUUAAUUCGAGGCUAAGCGAAGAACCUUACCAGGGCUUGACAUCCUUGGAAUUUCUCCGAAAGGAGAGAGUACUUUAUUGGACCAAGUGACAGGUGCUGCAUGGCCGUCGUCAGCUCGUGUCGUGAGAUGUUUGGUUAAGUCCAUUAACGAGCGCAACCCUUAUGAAUAGUUGUAUUUUUCUAUUCAGACUGCCCCGGUAACGGGGAGGAAGGGGGGGAUGAUGUCAGGUCAGUAUUGCCCUUACGCCCUGGGCUAGAAACGCGCUACAAUGGCCGGUACAAUGCGCUGCCAACCCGCGAGGGGGAGCAAAUCGCAUCAAAGCCGGUCCCAGUUCGGAUAGAGGCUGAAACUCGCCUCUUGAAGCCGGAAUCGCUAGUAAUCGU
rnacentral:rRNA from 1 species